rnacentral:rRNA from 1 species
GAUGAACGCUGGCGGCGUGCCUAAUACAUGCAAGUCGAGCGAACAGACGAGGAGCUUGCUCCUUUGACGUUAGCGGCGGACGGGUGAGUAACACGUAGUUAACCUACCUAUAAGACUGGGAUAACUUCGGGAAACCGGAGCUAAGACCGGAUAAUAUUUCGAACCGCAUGGUUCGAUAGUGAAAGAUGGCUUUGCUAUCACUUAUAGAUGGACCUGCGCCGUAUUAGCUAGUUGGUAAGGUAACGGCUUACCAAGGCAACGAUACGUAGCCGACCUGAAAGGGUGAUCGGCCACACUGGAACUGAGAAACGGUCCAGACUCCUACGGGAGGAAGCAGUAGGGAAUCUUCCGCAAUGGGCGAAAGCCUGACGGAGCAAAGCCGCGUGAGUGAUGAAGGUCUUCGGAUCGUAAAACUCUGUUAUUAGGGAAGAACAAAAGUGUAAGUAACUGUGAACGUCUUGACGGUACCUAAUCAGAAAGCCACGGCUAACUACGUG